rnacentral:rRNA from 1 species
CGCCGUAACCUUUGUACGGACGUCGCGACCCGUUCGGUGUCGGUCUUCAGGAGACGUGUGAAAGUUUGUGGGCGCGUGUCGGUCGUUUCGGCGGUUCGGCGCGCGUUCGCGAGUACGCGUUUUUUUCUGGCCGACUCGCCGGACGGUAUGCGAAACGGUGACCGCGGCGGCCUUUCGAGCGCCGUCGCACUGUGGUACCGGUCUGCGACGAAUCUUCGGGCCUCUUUCCGACCCGUCUUGAAACACGGACCAAGGAGUCUAACGUGCGCGCGAGUCGCGGGGUGUCGAGCGGUUGGCGGCGCGUGUUCGCGCGCGUCGUCGGCCGUUCGUUACAAUACGAAACCCGUCUCGUUUUACGAAAGGCGCAAUGAAAGUGAAUUUAGGGGAAGAUGACGUUACCGAGUUCACGUUCCGCGCUCUCGAAGCGCGGCCGGUCGUCCGCAUUCCCAGGGCGUCCCAAUGGCCCGGCGGCGUUGCGGAUCGUCGGCCCUUCGGGGUCGGCGGUCGGGCGUCGUCGAACCGGGGCGCACCUAUAGCGUGCACGUUGGUACCCGAAAGAUGGUGAACUAUGCCCGGCCAGGAUGAAGUCAGGGGAAACCCUGA